rnacentral:rRNA from 1 species
ACACAUGCAGUCGAGCGGAUGAAGGAGCUUGCUCCUGGAUUCAGCGGCGGACGGGUGAGUAAUGCCUAGGAAUCUGCCUGGUAGUGGGGGACAACGUUUCGAAAGGAACGCUAAUACCGCAUACGUCCUACGGGAGAAAGCAGGGGACCUUCGGGCCUUGCGCUAUCAGAUGAGCCUAGGUCGGAUUAGCUAGUUGGUGAGGUAAUGGCUCACCAAGGCGACGAUCCGUAACUGGUCUGAGAGGAUGAUCAGUCACACUGGAACUGAGACACGGUCCAGACUCCUACGGGAGGCAGCAGUGGGGAAUAUUGGACAAUGGGCGAAAGCCUGAUCCAGCCAUGCCGCGUGUGUGAAGAAGGUCUUCGGAUUGUAAAGCACUUUAAGUUGGGAGGAAGGGUUGUAGAUUAAUACUCUGCAAUUUUGACGUUACCGACAGAAUAAGCACCGGCUAACUCUGUGCCAGCAGCCGCGGUAAUACAGAGGGUGCAAGCGUUAAUCGGAAUUACUGGGCGUAAAGCGCGCGUAGGUGGUUUGUUAAGUUGGAUGUGAAAUCCCCGGGCUCAACCUGGGAACUGCAUCCAAAACUGGCAAGCUAGAGUAUGGUAGAGGGUGGUGGAAUUUCCUGUGUAGCGGUGAAAUGCGUAGAUAUAGGAAGGAACACCAGUGGCGAAAGCGACCACCUGGACUGAUACUGACACUGAGGUGCGAAAGCGUGGGGAGCAAA